CUGGGCUGCAUGGACAUAAUCACAAACCGCGUCAAUCGACAGUCUUUUACAACUCAAAAAGUUGGACCAUAAGCUGAUCUUCCCUGCAGUUUUUGGAGCCCAGCUGUCACCUGUCCCCCUUGACUGGAAUAAGCAUACGUCACAGAAAAUCCCAGAGCCUCACACGUCGGACCAAACCCAUCCCUGUGUGUCAGCCACUGACCUACCUGAGGAGUUGACGGUAGAGCUCUUAGCUUAGUUAAGGGUGACACUGCUGGUGCAUUUGCUCUCAGCACAAAGACAAAAGUCCUACCCAGCCCAAAGAAAGAUCUUCCAGUGGUACAAGCACUGCAUUUUACAGCUUUUAACGCUUAACGUUUGUUUGUUUCUGUUCUUUUUUUCUGUUUGUUUGUUUUUCGUGAUUUCUGCCAAAUUAUGCAAAUAAUGUUGGCUGUCCUACAUUGGGUCAGGUCCUCUACUACUGGCCAAUGAGAAGGAAGGCUCGUGUGCUUGAUGUGUUGUGGUUGUAUGGAUGACUCUGCAGGAUGUGCUAUCUAGCACCAUUGUUGUGCUUCUACAUUCACUAUGAUACAUGUUUUUUUUUUUCAGCCCAAAAGUUGUAGAGACAAAAGCAGGGUUAAAAUGGACAAGAAAAAACAUCUAACAGCGCCCAUAGCCAAACCCACAGCUGUUAAGCUGCAAACUAGAAACUUGACUCUUGUCAUGUUUGUCGUAACCACUGAACUACACUGAAGCUGGAAGCUGGAGGAGUAAAACUUUCUCACAAAGCUCUGCAUCAGCAUCCCUGUCUUUGAACAAAGUCCUUCACAAAGGGUAUUUAUGUCUUUUAUGUCAAGUGCUAUCUUCUUAUUAAAAUCCACAUA